rnacentral:rRNA from 1 species
UCCGGUUGAUCCUGCCGGAGGCGACCGCUUUUGGAGUUCGAUUAAGCCAUGCGAGUCGAGAGCCUUAGGGGCUCGGCAUACUGCUCAGUAACACGUGGAUAACCUGCCCUAUUGUCUGGAAUAACCUCGGGAAACUGAGAACAAGGCCGGAUAGCCCACAAUGCCUGGAACGGUUUGUGGGUGAAGAUAGGAUGGGUCUGCGGCGUAUCAGGUUGUAGGGGGUGUAAUGGACCUCCUAGCCAUCGACGCGUACGGGUGUUGGGAGACAUAGCCCGGAGAUGGAUUCUGAGACACGAAUCCAGACCCUACGGGGUGCAGCAGGCGCGAAAACUUCACACUGCAGGAAACUGUGAUGAGGGAACUCCAAGUGCUAUCACUAUGUGGUAGCUUUUCUUGACUAUUAAUCGGUCAUGGAAUAAGGGCUGGGAAAGACCGGUGCCAGACGACGCGGUAAUACCGGCAGCUCAAGUGGUCGUCGCUUUUAUUGGGCCUAAAACGUCCGUAGCCUGUUAGGU